rnacentral:rRNA from 1 species
UACGUAGGGGGCAAGCGUUGUCCGGAAUUAUUGGGCGUAAAGAGCUCGUAGGCGGUUUGUCGCGUCUGCUGUGAAAUCCCGAGGCUCAACCUCGGGUCUGCAGUGGGUACGGGCAGACUGGAGUGCGGUAGGGGGAGAAUGGAAUUCCUGGUGUAGCGGUGGAAUGCGCAGAUAUCAGGAGGAACACCGAUGGCGAAGGCAGUUCUCUGGGCCGUAACUGACGCUGAGGAGCGAAAGCGUGGGGGAGCGAACAGG